GCCAGCAGCCGCGGUAACACCGGCGGCCCGAGUGGUGAUCGUGAUUAUUGGGUCUAAAGGGUCCGUAGCCGGUUUGGUCAGUACCUCCGGGAAAUCUGAUAGCUCAACUAUUAGGCUUUCGGGGGAUACUGCCAGACUUGGAACCGGGAGAGGUAAGAGGUACUACAGGGGUAGGAGUGAAAUCUUGUAAUCCCUGUGGGACCACCUGUGGCGAAGGUGUCUUACCAGAACGGGUUCGACGGUGAGGGACGAAAGCUGGGGGCACGAACCGGAUUAGAUACCCGGGUAGUCCCAGCCGUAAACGAUGCUCGCUAGGUGUCAGGCAUGGCGCGACCGUGUCUGGUGCCGCAGGGAAGCCGUGAAGCGAGCCACCUGGGAAGUACGGCCGCAAGGCUGAAACUUAAAGGAAUUGGCGGGGGAGCACAACAACGGGUGGAGCCCUGCGGUUUAAUUGGACUCAACGCCGGACAACUCACCGGGGGCGACAGCAAUAUGUAGGCCAAGCUGAAGACUUUGCCUGAAUCGCUGAGAAGUGGUGCAUGG
rnacentral:rRNA from 1 species